UCUUGCUUAUUUAUUCUUGUGCUAAUAUUGUGUUUGGAAAGCUGGAGUAUUUCACUGACAAUCCUCCAGCGCAUUAUUAUCUGCGUAACAAUUUAGCAGAUUGCCCAAAACGAUUCUACACGGAUCCAAACAAAUACAACCUACCGAGUAUCCAUGGCGGUGUACGAGCUAGAAGAGGCGAAUUCCCACACAUGGCUGCAAUCGGCUGGACAACUUCCGAAGGCAUCAGGUAUUUAUGUGGAGGUUCGUUGAUAAGCGCUAAUUACGUACUGACAGCAGCGCACUGUUCUGCUAAUGG